UAGUGGCGGAAGGGUUAGUAAUACAUGAGUAACCUGCCUUUAACCUGGGGAUAACGGUUGGAAACGGCCGCUAAUACCGAAUGAGGUGGCGAGGGCGAAUGCUCAUGGCAUCAAAGUAGGGGAUCUUGAAGGGACCUUGCGGUAGGAGAGAGGGGUAUGGGAUAUCAGCUAGUUGGUGUGGUAAAGGCGCACCAAGGCUAAGACGUCUAGGCGGAUUGAGAGAUUGACCGCCAACACUGGGACUGAGACACUGCCCAGACUCCUACGGGAGGCUGCAGUCGAGAAUCUUUCGCAAUGGGCGAAAGCGUGACGAAGCGACGCCGUGUGGACGAUGAAGGCCUUCGGGUUGUAAAGUCCUUUCGCCCAGGAACAAGGAAAGUAAGCUAAUAACUUACUAACUUGAGGGUACUAGGUAAAGAAGCACCGGCUAACUCCGUGCCAGCAGCUGCGGUAAUACGGAGGGUGCAAGCAUUAAUCGGAUUUACUGGGCGUAAAGGGCGCGUAGGCGGGCAAGCAAGUCAGAUGUGAAAUUCCGGAGCUCAACUCCGGAGCUGCAUUUGAAACUGCUUGUCUAGAGGAUGGGCGGAGAAAACGGAAUUCCACGUGUAGCGGUGAAAUGCGUAGAUAUGUGGAAGAACACCGGUGGCGAAGGCGGUUUUCUAGUUUAUUCCUGACGCUGAGGCGCGAGAGCAAGGGGAGCAAACAGGGUUAGAUACCCUGGUAGUCCAUGCCGUAAACGUUGCAUACUUGAUGUAUUUGGGCUCAACCCCGACUGUGUCGAACGUAACGCGAUAAGUAUACCACCUGAGGAGUACGCUCGCAAGGGUGAAACUCAAAAGAAUUGACGGGGGCCCGCACAAGCAGUGGAGCAUGUGGUUUAAUUCGAUGCAACGCGAAGAACCUUACCCAGGCUUGACAUUUAGAAGACACAUCAGAAAUGUUGUCUCCCGCAGGGCUUUUGUACAGGUGCUGCAUGGCUGUCGUCAGCUCGUGCCGUGAGGUGUUGGGUUAAGUCCCGCAACGAGCGCAACCCUUAUCAUUAGUUGCCAACAUUUCGUGAUGGGGACUCUAAUGAGACUGCCUGGGUUAACUAGGAGGAAGGUGAGGAUGACGUCAAGUCCGCAUGGCCCUUAUGUCUGGGGCUACACACGUGCUACAAUGGUCGAUACAGAAGGCUGCGAAGCCGCAAGGUGGAGCAAAUCCGUAAAACCGAUCUCAGUUCGGAUAGAAGUCUGCAACUCGACUUCUUGAAGUUGGAAUUGCUAGUAAUGACGUGUCAGCAAUAACGUCGUGAAUACGUUCCCGGGCCUUGUACACACCGCCCGUCACAUCACGG
rnacentral:rRNA from 1 species